rnacentral:rRNA from 1 species
AUGGGAGAAGACGAGCAAUUUGGGUACGACGGACACGUCUGUGCAAUUACAUCAAAGAUAUCAUGUUCCCCAUAUCCAACUCACACAUCAGGAGGUUCUCGCCGCUGCGCCGCUGCAUCUUCUGGUCGAAAGGCGACCACUCGGAGUUCCGGCGAUGAUGCCCGGCUCCUCUAUUUCCUCCUGGCCGUCGAGCCAUAUGGGAGGCAGUUUAGUAGGUUCUUCGUCUGGUACUUCAACAGUCUACCUUCGGCUGUGCGCUGGUGGUGCUGUAGCCAUUCCUCCGCCCCAAGUGGUUUCGUCCCCGGUGGUGGUGGGAUCGGGCCAGGAUCGAAGACGGCGAAGAGGACUCGAUUGCUUUUCAGUUUUGUUGUCUGGGGUCCUUUCUACAAAAAUGUCCGGCCUGGAUUGUAA